UUAAGAAAUGUAAAAAAUGUAUACAGAAAAUAUGGUAUAAGACACAAUAGACUCGACCUAUCGGGUACUAAUCGAUUUUGUCUCUGAUCGUAGGCUAAUAGAGAAUCAAAAUUCUUGUCCGUCUCACUAUGGCCGCUGCAAUUAUAAUUUAUUCUAACGAUCUACAACGACUUGUGUUUGGCGCCUCGAUCUCGACCAUCGAAACAUGAACAUAAACGUUUCCGAUUUCGUGACGCCAUUUGACGCCAGGUUACACGAUCGUUUGAACGGUACGCGUAACACUAUGCCACGUCAACGAGAAUAGAACAUAGCAGAGCAGUGACCCCUUGCCGCAAUGUACAUGCACGCACAACCUCGGACAUGUGCGCUGCACAAUUGUUAAACCGUUUCAAAUCGACGAAACAAUAACAAAGUUCACCGUGCCGAUGGUUUUCAGGGUUCAUGAUCGAUUUCUCGAAAAAAAGACAUUGGGAACAUGCUCACAGUCCACUCUUUUGCCAUGUUGCAGGGCUGAAAUGAUUGCAGUGGGCUGGACAGCUAUUGUGACCGCGAGCCUAUUUCAGGUAUUGAUGACAUCAGUUCCUGAUUUUCGAAAAACCAAACAGAAUUGCAAAUAUUUCUUAUUGUUUAUAUCCUGUGUUUACAAAGAUUCGGACCUUCUGUAUUUUAUUUUCACGAGUACCAGCGUAUAAACAAACACAAAAGAUUUAGCAGUGUCGACAAUGCGCAUGCAGGGUGAAGAAAUGAAAAGAGAAGGUGACAAACAAAAAUGUACAUAGCAUUCGAAUGAAAUAUGUACUUUCUACGUGCUGUCAUGUUCGAUGUAUCACAUACCUUGGAAUAAUGUUGGCGAUAGGAUAUAUCCUCGUCAUACGAUUUCUUCUUUCCUCUCAAAAGUCGUGAUAGACUUGAAAACGACGAACUUCGGCCGAAAUGAACUCCAUCACUAAAAAUUAACGUACCUCCAGAAAUUACUUUAACGAGCGAAAAACAUGGAAAACAAACGGUUGUAUUGAUCAUUGAAAUUUACGUUUACGAUGCUGAAUUAUACACGCGAGUAUGCCAGCAAAUUUUACGAAAAAUUCAACGAUCGAAUGGGUAUUUUGAAGUACGCAUCACAAGAUCAAAUACGAGAUUUUUCGCUUUUUGAAACAUUACUUGAGAAACUCGGUUAUUCUUAAGUACGAGGUACCGGCACUGUGGAGCUGAAUGCGCCAUAUUAAUUUAAACCCUCCUUACCAUCUUGUACUCGCUCAAAAUAUGUUCGAGAAUAAGGGAAGCUACAUGCAAUGCGACUUUAUUCUCAUUGGCUAAUAAUUUGUAACCGAUUCUUUUCGACAAUUAUUUUCCUGAUGCAAACCCGGUAAUGUAUUGUGAAACUUUAAAAUUCGAUUUGAAUUGUCUGUUACAUAUGUAUCAUGCUAUGAAGUUUCGGUAAUACCAACACAGAAGGGAACACGCUUUUUCUCUAUAUAUUCCGAAGGUUUAAGCAAUGCUGAAUGUGCAACAGAAUGGUGGGAAUAGAAAUGCGCAAUUAUGGAGACAACUUUGACCAGAUGGUAUGAAGCAUUUACUCUAGUACCUUAGUUGGAACUGGUGCAUGCUUUACAUGCUAAUACAUACCAGAUAACAUGCUUAAUCGUCAGUUAAUGAGUUGGUUGAUGGAUUACGUAAUUAAUGCUAUUAUUAUAAGAAAACAAAUUAUUUAAAGCGAAGCAGAAGAUAGAAACUUCAGAAUGUCUACUUUCAAAAAAAGAUAACAAAUCCUGUACCUUAUUUUAUUACAGCGGCUUUUUUUAUUAAACAAUGCGAAUUACUUCAAAUUAGAACCAAGGUAUUUGUCACAUGAAACAGUCUUCAGAUAUGUGUUAACAGCAGUAGAACAGUUAGUAAUAAUUUUUUAUGUUAUUUGAUACAAUAUUUAUACAUACAUACAAACAUACCAAAUUUCGAUAUGAUUCGUCGUACAAAACCUCGUUAUAGACAUUUUUAUUUUUGAUGAUAUAAUCUAUAAAAGCUUUACACGUUUAAAUGUGUAUAAAUAGAAGCUAUUUAUAGUUAUAUUUCAAAUAGCAAAACAUACAUAUAAUACUAAGUCCUACUCUCACCAUUCCACUGCUGAUCCCAUUCCACUACUGUAAUAUUGUAUAUCAAGUUUACAUUUGAAGGAACAUAAUAAUACACACACAGAUAGGAAGACUGUAAUUUUCGAAAUAGCUGGAACCGUUAUUGCUUA